AGAACCUGAAACCGUGUACGUACAAGCAGUGGGAGCCCCACCACCAAAGCGUUUCGCUUUGCGUGGUGCGCAAAAUGCGUAACGACAGCACGAUUGCGGUUAACGGAGCGUAAGCGACGUUCAACACAAAAAUCAGGCAGUGGAGCGUUUUGGGGUGGGGUGACUGCGUACCUUUUGUAUAAUGGGUCAGCGACUUAUAUUCUGUAGCAAGGUUAACCGCAUAGGGGAGCCGGAGGGAAACCGAGUCUUAAUUGGGCGUUAAGUUGCAGGGUAUAGACCCGAAACCCGGUGAUCUAGCCAUGGGCAGGUUGAAGGUUGGGUAACACUAACUGGAGGACCGAACCGACUAAUGUUGAAAAAUUAGCGGAUGACCUGUGGCUGGGGGUGAAAGGCCAAUCAAACCGGGAGAUAGCUGGUUCUCCCCGAAAGCUAUUUAGGUAGCGCCUCGUGAAUUCAUCUCCGGGGGUAGAGCACUGUUUCGGCCAGGGGGCCAUCCCGGCUUACCAAUCCGAUGCAAACUGCGAAUACCGGAGAAUGUUAUCACGGGAGACACACGGCGGGUGCUAACGUCCGUCGUGAAGAGGGAAACAACCCAGACCGCCAGCUAAGGUCCCAAAGUCAUGGUUAAGUGGGAAACGAUGUGGGAAGGCCCAGACAGCCAGGAUGUUGGCUUAGAAGCAGCCAUCAUUUAAAGAAAGCGUAAUAGCUCACUGGUCGAGUCGGCCUGCGCGGAAGAUGUAACGGGGCUAAACCAU
rnacentral:rRNA from 1 species